CACAUAUUCUAUGCCUUGAGUUUCUUAAUUUUGUUGCUUAUGUAUUUCUGAUUGCACUGCUAGCGACAGGUUAAGCAUAGUCAGAAUUUUGUAGUCGUCUUUCAUUUUUUUUCUUUUUCAUAUUUUCCUUUGAAAUCAAUUAAGAUUGUCGUGACCCCUCUUGCAUAUGC